rnacentral:rRNA from 1 species
GACGAACGCUGGCGGCGUGCUUAACACAUGCAAGUCGAACGGAAAGGCCCUGCUUUUGUGGGGUGCUCGAGUGGCGAACGGGUGAGUAACACGUGAGUAACCUGCCCUUGACUUUGGGAUAACUUCAGGAAACUGGGGCUAAUACCGGAUCGGCGCUCCUGCUGCAUGGUGGGGGUUGGAAAGUUUCGGCGGUUGGGGAUGGACUCGCGGCUUAUCAGCUUGUUGGUGGGGUAGUGGCUUACCAAGGCUUUGACGGGUAGCCGGCCUGAGAGGGUGACCGGCCACAUUGGGACUGAGAUACGGCCCAGACUCCUACGGGAGGCAGCAGUGGGGAAUAUUGCACAAUGGGCGGAAGCCUGAUGCAGCAACGCCGCGUGCGGGAUGACGGCCUUCGGGUUGUAAACCGCUUUCGCCUGUGACGAAGCGUGAGUGACGGUAAUGGGUAAAGAAGCACCGGCUAACUACGUG